rnacentral:rRNA from 1 species
AGAAAUCCCUCGCUCGGAGCGCCUGGCGGUGGCCGCCCCGACCCAUUUUUACAAGGUUGGCCUCGGAUCAGGUGGGGAUACCCGCUGAACUUAAGCAUAUCAAUAAC